rnacentral:lncRNA from 1 species
GCAUAGUGGGUAAUUUGUAUCAACUUCAGGGGUAAUUCUAAUGACGUACGACCAGAAGCACUAUUUGCUUUAUUAGUAGGGGAAGAUAAUAGGCGUUACCUUAUGUUCUACAUCGCACAUCUCUUGGUGUCCCAGUCCGUCUGCGUCAACCUGACGGGUCCAAUGCAGUGGUUUGUGUUUGCCGUACCUGUGGUCUCCUACCUGGUCGCCGCCGCCACUUUCGCGCUCCUGGAGGGAAUUGAAGUCAGGCGUCCCUGGCUCAGGUUCCUGCACAUCUUCGCUUGGACUGUGCUUAUCUCUUGGCUUAUCGCAUGCUACUGAGAGGAGUUUAUAUAUGCAGUAUCUUGUAUCACUUACUGUACUAUCUCUUGGGGACCAUCGAGGCUAAGUAUUCAUGUAGAGACUAUUCAUGUAGAGGCUAUAUAUCUAGUGUUUUGCUAUUUUACAGUGAUUUACAAUUGGGCUUCAUUCAAUUUUGAUUCUGCUGGCCCUUGUGAUGUGGAUGCAGGCGCUAAUGGUCAAUCCUUGGUCUGAAUUUGUGUUCUGAGUUCCUUAAUCAGUAGUGUAGUGAGAAGGGAUUGCAUCCAUUUAUAGGAACCGUUUCUAUUUUCUUGUCAAUGUUGGGGAUUGUUAUAGCUGGGCCCUUGAUUUAUUGUUUGACUAAGGCAAUUACAUCAUCCUCACAAUACUUGGGUUUUAUGAGACUAAAUUUUGAGUUCAUGUCCCUAGCCUGAAAUGCUUUUCCUGCUAGUGUGUACUCUGAGAACAGAGUGACACUCUGUUGGCAUGCUGCGCGAGACCCACCCAGGUUCAAUUCUCGGGCUCGGUGGGUGCUCAGGUUGUUUCUGCCAUAAAAACAACCAUUUCUAGUUUUUUUGUCGAUGUUGGGGAUUGCUAUUGCUAUGCCCUUGAUUUACUGUUUGACUAGUAGGUAAUUACACCAUCCUCUAACUGUAAUUUCAGGGGUUCUAUGGACUGUAAAUUUUCAGUUCCAUGUCCGUAGCCUGAAAUGUAUUUUGUACAGCAUCCUCUGUUGGCAAGCUGUGUGGGUGUGCAUGCUACCCACCCAGGUUUCUUCCUAUAAAAAUAUGCCACCAAGGGCUAGUCCUGGUCGGUCUCUUUUUUUCUGCCAGUGUGUAUUUAUUGAUAACUGGAAUUUUUCUUGCAGUUUAAUUCUAGUGUUAUUAGAGUGUAAUUUACAUAGUAGUUGCACUGUAAGUGGUAGUGGAAUUGUUAACACUAUAAAACUUCAGUAGAGCAGUUAACUAUAGUAUUUUCUUCAACUGUUAAUGUGAACUUAUAGUUUAAUUUUAUUGUAAUUUUACUGGAAUUUCAGUGUAAACCAUAAUACUUCUGUUUGUCUUGUUGGGUUGCCAGCUCUUUUGUUACAACCUGGGGAUUGUCUUUCUUGUGGUUUGUUAUUGAUAGUUAGAAGGCAUGGCGUCCAUUUAUAAAAACUGUUUCUAUCUUUUUGGUCUAUGUUGGGGAUUGUUAUUGCUGUGCCCCCGAUUUGUAAAUUUUCAGUUCAUGUCCCUUGCCUGAAAUGCUUCUUUCUGUCAGUGUGCAUGUGAUCUUCACAACUACUCCCUCCGAUUCCUAAAUAUAAGUCCUUUUAGACAUUUCAAAUGGACUACAACAUACGGAUGUAUGUAGACAUAUUUUAGAGUGUAGAUUCACUCAUUUUGCUCCGUAUGUAGUCAUUUGUUGCAAUCUCUAAAAGGACUAAUAUCUGGGAACGGAGGGAUUACCAAACUGUCCGGUUUAUGUUUAUGUAGGAGUACUUUAUAUCCAGUGUGCUUUUUUCUUCCACUGUGCAUGGUGGUUCAUGCAAUUAAAAACUGUGCAUUAUAACAUCACAUCUGUUGUGUAAUCGUAGACACUGGUUCCAUUGUUUAGUCAGAGUACUGUUCAUUGCUGCUGCUGUAGAGGUGUCCGUUGCAGCCUGUAUGCUGUGCUAGCCGUGUUGUUGCGGCUGCUGUCUGUCAGUUCCACAGUGCUCUUUUCUUAGCAUUUUCCUAUGGCUGAACAACUACCCUUCCUUAAUUUGAAUGUUAUGGGAUAUUGAAUGAAUGAGCUGGUGAGUCGCACCUCUGUUCGUGAAUUAGUCAAUAGUUUGUUUGCAGGAAUCCUAAUUGGUCAGCUUCUCUGACGCUUUGCGCCAGGAAGUGGCUGGGUCUGGAUUUGAUCAGUAUGUGGCGCUGGAUGCCGAGGGCACCAACGCAGGCAUGCUCCUCUUUUGGCACACGGAUCCCUGACUUCCAGAAGUUCUCAAUUUUGUCAAGGUUCUCACCUAUGUAGCCCUAUGGUGCCGGCAUCUUACUAGUGUGUCGAGCAACAGAAAGCCUCGUUCCUUGGUGAACUGGUAAAACUGCACAACUCCAUUGCCGGACCCUAGAGCGAUUUUUGAAUUUGAUCAAAGGUAAGGAAAAAACAAAUCAACUCUGAACCGCCGCUGGAUGGAACGUGCCGGGAGUACAUCUCCGAUUUCAAAAAGUGGUCAUCACCCUCAAACUUUGGAGCAAGAACCAUGCGGGUGACGUGCAGCGGCAACUCCGGACCAAGAUCCAGGGGCUGGCCUCCAGUCACGCCGUAACUGGCGGGAGGCCAGCCGUUGGAUGGAGGAUGUGCAGCCCAGAGCAAGCACUGUAGCAAAAUCACUGCAGACGGUACUGUAUGCCAAUCACUGUAGCUUGGUGACUGUAGCUCGGAUACAGUUCACGAAGAUCCAUCCGUCGAUCUUUGAUCCAACAGUUUGGAGAGAGGGGCCAGGCACCGUACUGUUCACCGGUGAUUUGUCCACAUCAAGUCACCGGAUCUCAGUCUGGCAACUCCAUAUUGUCAAUGAGAUUAUUCUUCAGCUUUGUUUUGUGGCGAUUACUAGCUAAAGAAUAAGCUGAAAUUUAUUCUUCAGCUAGACACUGCCCAAGAUUUCCUGCCUCUCCUGGCGGAGGAAAGUGUACUGCACUCCAACCGAACCUGGCCAUAUGGGUUGUGCAUAGAGCAAUUCUAGCAGACCCCGCAUUUUGCCGACCCGUAAAAUGUGUUUGCAGAUCGCACGGGGGCGGUUAUGUAGGCCGAAAUUUGCGGCGGCAGACUAGAAACUGCAAACAAACCCCUAAAUUUUUAAAAAAGUUGUUUUGCGCGAGAAAUUUAAGCAACAGCUUGCCGGAGCUCGCUCGCAUACAUGGUUCUUCUUCGCAUAAUAAGUUCAUACACGCCAUAUACAUACAUAGAUACUUGUUGCUUAAAUUUGGAACGGCACGACACGUGGAUACAUGGAUUGGGAUGGACGAUCCUUCCAUUGCAAAAAAAAAUCGAUCUAGCUGGCCAAAUCAAAUCAAUAAAUUGAAGAGAAAUACAAAAUUAUGAUAAUCAUGCAUAAAAUAGUUCAGAAAAACUCAAAUAAUAUUCACAGAUAAUUUGAUCAUAAAACUUACAAUUCAUUAGAUCCCAACAAACACACCGUAAAAAACUGAUUACAUCGAAUAGAACUCCAAGAAUAUUGAGGAGAAUAUUGUAUUGAAGAUCAAAGAGAGAGAAGAAGUCAUCUAGCUAAUAACUAUGGACCCAUGAGUCUGUGGUAAACUGCUCACACAUCAUUGGAAGGGUAGCAAGGUUGAUUUAGAGCCACUAUGUGAUUGAUUCCCUCUCCGGCAGAGUGCCAGAAAAGGCCUCCAGAUGGGAUCUCUCGGGAACAGGAGCUUACGGCGGCAGAAUUUUUUUUGGUGGCUCUUUGUUGGUUUCUCGAUUUUAGAGAAUUUAUAAAGGUGGAAUUAGGUCCAACGGGUGAACGUGGGCCUCAUGAGCCACCAGUGCGCGCCUACCCCCUGGGCGCGCCCUGGUGCCUCAUGGCUCCACCUUCAUCUUCUGGCCCUCUCCCGAAGCUUACGUGGUCUCUUUUGUCCAGAAAAAAAUCCCAAAAAGUUUCGUUGCAUUUGGAUUUCGUUUGGUACUCAUAUUUUGGAAACCCAAAAACAGGAAAAAAAA